rnacentral:rRNA from 1 species
UACGUAGGGGGCUAGCGUUGUCCGGAAUCAUUGGGCGUAAAGAGCGUGUAGGCGGCCCGGUAAGUCCGCUGUCAAAGUCAAAGGCUCAACCUUUGAAUGUCAGUGGAUACUGCCGGGCUAGAGUCCGGAAGAGGCGAGUGGAACUCCUGGUGUAGCGGUGGAAUGCGCAGAUAUCAGGAAGAACACCGACGGCGAAGGCAGCUCGCUGGGACGGUACUGACGCUGAGACGCGAAAGCGUGGGGAGCGAACAGG